GUGAGCUUCCUUUGCUCUGGUCUCCGCACACAUCCGGCGAGGCGCUGCUUGUUACAAUAGCCACUGUACAUUGCACCCCUGUGUGUAGUGGGUUGCUCGCGUUGAUGUGCCUGGAAUCACACUGUAUGCCUGACUGGACAGGAACAUGAGAACACAUGGAUGACUCUCCCUAUAGAAAAUUAGUGAAGCAGGGUGCCGUGCACAAUCCUGAUUUGAUGGAGAUGGACGUGAGAGCACGGAGGAACAUCUGGUGAAACUUCUGAAAUGCCUGCUUCGCUGGUGCUGCUACUGUGUGGUCCAAAAUCUCCGGAGGAGAAGGCCCCGAGUCCUCGGUGGCCGGGGCGGGGUCGAAGCGCUCGGCAGAAGAUGGUGCUCGGAGAGGCUGUGUCGGAACGGCUGGUCGGAGGCUCGAAGUUUUCAGACGGACUCAGAGUCCGCUGCGGUCGGGUGCUUCCAAUGUUGCUGCAUUGGUAAAUUGGCGGUGCUUGGAGGUUCAUGGCAGGGAGAGUUCCUCCCUUCUGCCGCCUGCGUGAGAUGAUGAGUCUAUCGGGACUUUGAG